rnacentral:tRNA from 1 species
GCCCUGUUAGCUCAGUUGGUAGAGCAUUGGACUUUUAAUCCAAUGGUCAUGGGUUCAAAUCCCACAUAGGGCG